rnacentral:rRNA from 1 species
UACGUAGGGACCAAGCGUUGUUCGGAUUUACUGGGCGUAAAGGGCGCGUAGGCGGCUUGUCAAGUCACUUGUGAAAUCUCUGGGCUUAACCCAGAACGGCCAAGUGAAAUUGACAUGCUAGAGUGCAGAAGGGGCAAUCGGAAUUCUUGGUGUAGCGGUGAAAUGCGUAGAUAUCAAGAGGAACACCUGAGGUGAAGACGGGUUGCUGGGCUGACACUGACGCUGAGGCGCGAAAGCCAGGGGAGCAAACGGG